UGAGGAAUAUUCCACAAUGGGCGAAAGCCUGAUGGAGCAAUGCCGCGUGCAGGAUGAAGGCCUUCGGGUUGUAAACUGCUUUUAUAUGAGAAGACUAUGACGGUAACAUAUGAAUAAGGACCGGCUAACUACGUGCCAGCAGCCGCGGUCAUACGUAGGGUCCAAGCGUUAUCCGGAGUGACUGGGCGUAAAGAGUUGCGUAGGCUGUUAUAUAAGCGAGUGAUGAAAACUAUCGGCUCAACCGGUAGCCUAUCAUUCGAACUGUAUAACUCGAGAGUAUCAGAGGUCGCUGGAAUUCCUAGUGUAGGAGUGGAAUCCGUAGAUAUUAGGAGGAACACCAAUGGCGUAGGCAGGCGACUGGGAUAUUUCUGACGCUAAGGCACGAAAGCGUGGGGAGCGAACCGG
rnacentral:rRNA from 1 species